CAGGGGUGCCUUAUGGCUGAGAUGUAUUAUACAAUCCCUUAUGACCUGAACUAGGUAAUGCUAGCGUAGGGAGUCUAUGAAAA
rnacentral:ncRNA from 1 species